UAUUCAGACCAGCUCAUCUAGUUUUUCUUCGAGCCGUACUCUUACGGAGGACAAUCUAUAGGACCUUCAUGGCCCAUAGAUCUCUAUCCGGACCAACUCAUCAGGUUUUUCUCUGAGCCAUACUCUUAUGAAGGACAACCUACAGGACCUCCACAGCCCAUUGAUCUCUAUCUGGGGUAGCUCGUCGAUCUUCAUCCGAGCCUUCUUGUAGAGGACAACCUACGGGACCUCUGCAGUCCGUC
rnacentral:lncRNA from 1 species